CAAGCGUUGUCCGGAUUUACUGGGCGUACAGCGCGCGCAGGCGGCCCGCAAGGUGCUCUGUGACAGUCGGGGGCUCAACCCCCGCCGGCCAGGGUAGACGCACGACCUGGAGGCAGGGAGAGGGAUGUGGAAUGCCCGGUGGAGCGGUGAAAUGCGUAGAGAUCGGGCGGAACACCAGCGGCGAAGGCGGCAUCCUGGCCCUGACCUGACGCUGAGGCGCGAUAGCGUGGGGAGCAAACGGGAUUAGAUACCCGGGUAGUCCC
rnacentral:rRNA from 1 species